UAUCUCAUGUUUUGGUGGCAAGCAUGUACAGGACAAAUAAUUGGCUUAAGAAAGGAGUACGUAAACUGUCAAUGUCUUAUGUCACAUAAUUUGGCCUUGAUUCAGCAGCAGUGCCUGAUAUUGCCAUGUAACGUUAUAAGCCAUUCAUUGCUUGCAGGUUUGUUAGCAAGCUAACUAGGUACUUGCAUACCGGUAACUUAAAACGAGAAGGCUAACCAAAGAUAGUGGACAAAUUAAGAGGUCUCCCUCAAACCGUUUACCAAAAGGUCACAGUUCCAGUCUACUUAAUGGGUGUCGUUGGAUAGGGAAAAGUUUACGCCCGUUGUUGGUUCUCGGAACACCUGACCAAGCCCGCUGCUUCUGGGGCGGGGCAGAGCUCAGCCUGAGUGAGUUCCGCUCCCUCUGACCCUGGUCCCUGUCUCCAGUUCCACGUCUCGUCAUCACUCUACUCUGUCCUGGAUUCCCCACUCUACUACUCCCUUGGAUUUCCUUCCGGACCUGCUUACCCUGUCCUAACCCCUCUCGCUCCAGCCUCAGCCUCCGCACCUGGUUUUCUGCAACCCACCCAAGCUUCCCCUGGCCUGCACUCCAUCUUCCCCCUGUGUUUCAAUAAAUACCGUGGUUACUUCAUCCCAGUCCCCUCGUCUGAGUCUGCUCUUGGGUUCCCAUGUUCCACUCCGUGUAACGAUCUUCACAUACAGUACAUUUAAAUACUAUU